rnacentral:lncRNA from 1 species
AUAUGUUCAUAAGUUUUGAUGUAUGUUAGAAUGAUUAAUAGAAUAAUUUAAAGAGAGUGGAUUUAAGAAACUUUAUUUUGAGUUUUAACUUUUUAAUUAUAGCAUUUUAAAAUAAUUAUAGAACCUAAAUAUUUAGUAUAAAGCCUUGAAAGGAGAUUAGAGCCUAAAGAAGAAAUUCUUAACUAUUAGGAGGCUUAUUGGGAGGAAUGAAAGGAAGGCAUGGUUAGAUGAAAGUAAGGAAUUGGAAUCUUCAUUCCUAUUGGUCGAAGGCUAUGUCCAAUGGGCUUCAAGGAGGCUGCUCGAGGCCUUAUUAGGGAUUAGGGUUU